GCGGCGGGGCUGCGGCGGGCCUGCUGGGACGCGCACCUGCCCGGCCUCGGCCCGGGGCGCCCGGGCGCAGCCCCGAGGUCUGGAGGUCAGCCGGCGCGUGCGGCCCCCAGCUAAGCCACCGAGAGCAGGCCGGACCCCCGCCCGCAGACGUCCCCCGGCCCUCCGAGGGGCGGCCUGGGUGCGAGCGCCGCGGUCGCUGGGGCCGCACCUGCGGGGUCCUAGGCUUUGUCUGCGCUCGCCUUCUGCAGCCGCCGUCCCGGGGAGCCCUGAUCUGCGGCCUCGCUGAGCGUCCUGCUUGUCCAGCGCUGUCCUGGGCCUCCAGGGCCGCCCCCCAGUUCAGCACCAGAUUGCACGUGACGGCGUCCGCUGCAGAUUUCACCGCGGGGGGGCAGAGAGGUGUGAGCUGUGUCCAACACCCAGGGGAGUGUUUGCUCCAGCUGAGUGGUCACCUGGACUCAGGGCCGCCUGCCGUUAGGCCCCGCUCCCCCACUGGGAUGAACCUGUGCAGCCUCUUGGGGCGAUCUCCCACACCCGACGUCACGGCCCGGCCACUGAGUGCCCUCCGACACGACUCCCCGAGCUGGGAUGCUCACUGCAGCGACACCAGAGCCUGGACAGCCCAGGAGUGACCUUGGGCGGGACGAGGGGAGCCGUUGGUGGGUAUUGUCACCAUCAGUGUGGUGCAGAGCUGUGUGCAGGCUGAGCGGUGGGGUGAGGGACAGACAGACAGACCCAUGGGUACAUAGCUCACCCGACAGCUGGCCUUGGGGGCCUACAAACAAAGACCCCCGUCCACCCAAGGAGUAAUGAAAGCGCCCAGCCGGCGUCCGGUUGCUCCCUGGUCACCUGCUCAGCCACACCCGGAGUUUAUCCCUGAUCAGGGACCUCCUUCUGGGACCCCCUCCUCUGCCUUCCGGGGGGCUGCUUCGUCUGGGACAAAACCUGCUCAUUUCUCCAGACAUGCGGCGCCCCCACCCCCGGAAGGAACCUUGCACGCCUCCUGUGAUUCACAGCAUUUUACCGUUCUGAAACCUCCUCUUUUUAAAUAUUUCAUCGGGC
rnacentral:lncRNA from 1 species